rfam:Peptoniphilus duerdenii ATCC BAA-1640 genomic scaffold SCAFFOLD1, whole genome shotgun sequence.
UUAUGUCUUCAGGGCGGGGCGCAAUUCCCCACCGGCGGUAAAGUCCGCGAGCGCAAGCUGAAUUGGUGAAAUUCCAAUACCGACAGUAUAGUCUGGAUGAAAGAAGAGAUUU